CAAUAGCGUAUAUUAAUGUUGUUGCAGUUAAAAAGCUCGUAGUUGGAUAUCUGUAGGAGCAGCCUAGUCUGUGAUUAACGUUACGGUACUGAUGGUUUGUUUCUAUAUAUUUGAGUGGAAGUAGCUGUUAUUAAGUUAAUGGUUGCGGAUGCUCAUCGUUUACUGUGAAAAAAUUAGAGUGUUCAAAGCGGGCUUACGCUUGAAUAUUUCAGCAUGGAAUAACACUAUAGGACUCCUGUCCUAUUUCGUUGGUCUCGGGACGGGAGUAAUGAUUAAGAGGAACAGUUGGGGGCAUUCGUAUUUCAUUGUCAGAGGUGAAAUUCUUGGAUUUAUGAAAGACGAACUUCUGCGAAAGCAUUUGCCAAGGAUGUUUUCAUUAA
rnacentral:rRNA from 1 species